rnacentral:rRNA from 1 species
UCCUACGGGAGGCAGCAGUGGGGAAUAUUGCACAAUGGGCGAAAGCCUGAUGCAGCAACGCCGCGUGAGUGAAGAAGGUCUUCGGAUUGUAAAGCUCUGUCUUUUGGGACGAAAAGUGACGGUACCAAAGGAGGAAGCCACGGCUAACUACGUGCCAGCAGCCGCGGUAAU